rnacentral:snoRNA from 1 species
GUGCCUUCUUAAGGUUGAUGCAUUGCCUUAAGAGCCUAACACAGAAGGGUCAAGAACUCUCCAUAAAACCCAGAGAAGGGCUUGUAAAACUCCUCUCUAUACCCUGUCUGGAGUCACAGCU